CUCGGGCAGCGACGACGUCUCAUGCACGCCUCUUCAGUUGUUGGCCCAAGCACGGGCUUGGCCGAAGUUGGUUUUCCUGUGUUGAAUACCUAUCGCGAGGGCAUUGCAUUGGCUAUAAUUGUCGGUUUUCCGCCCUGUGCCGCUGCUCCUUGCGGGGAAGCGGUUCUGGGAGGACCACGAGGCACCCGCCGUGUUUCGCACCGUGUUCACCGUUACGGGUGUUCCGAUUGACGACCCACGGCGCGUUGCUCGAUCUCUCGGGUACGGAACAUCAUGUGGGUACGAGGCCAUCGGCCUCCGAUCACCACAACAACAAGCGUUCUACGCUUCGUGCGAACGACGGUCGGCUCGGUCUUUGGUCGUGCUCUCGCAGCUCGAUUGAAGUCGUGCCGGCGUCGAUGAGGAAUGCUACCU
rnacentral:misc_RNA from 1 species